rnacentral:rRNA from 1 species
UACGGAGGGUCCAAGCGUUAUCCGGAAUCAUUGGGUUUAAAGGGUCCGUAGGCGGUUUUGUAAGUCAGUGGUGAAAGCCCAUCGCUCAACGGUGGAACGGCCAUUGAUACUGCAAGACUUGAAUUAUUGGGAAGUAACUAGAAUAUGUAGUGUAGCGGUGAAAUGCUUAGAGAUUACAUGGAAUACCAAUUGCGAAGGCAGGUUACUAUCAAUAUAUUGACGCUGAUGGACGAAAGCGUGGGGAGCGAACAGG